rnacentral:rRNA from 1 species
AGAGCAGCAUUGGGUAUAAAGCGUGCGUAGGUGGUGGUUUAAGUCUGCUGUGAAAGCCCUGGGCUCAACCUGGGAAUUGCAGUGGAUACUGGAUCACUAGAGUGUGGUAGAGGGAUGCGGAAUUUCUGGUGUAGCAGUGAAAUGCGUAGAGAUCAGAAGGAACAUCCGUGGCGAAGGCGGCAUCCUGGGCCAACACUGACACUGAGGCACGAAAGCGUGGGGAGCAAACAGGAUUAGAUACCCUGGUAGUCCACGCCCUAAACGAUGCGAACUGGAUGUUGGGUGCAACUUGGCACCCAGUAUCGAAGCUAACGCGUUAAGUUCGCCGCCUGGGGAGUACGGUCGCAAGACUGAAACUUAAAAAAUUGACGG